CCUUUAAUUUAUAUAAUAUAUACAUUUACAUAUAUGCACUUAGGAAUUUUAAAAUCUUAAUUCAAAUACAACUGAAAAAUGUAAAACAUCAUUUCCCAUACGAAAUAAAUUAUAUUUAAAUUUAGCAUUACACUCUUCAAAGUAAGCAAAAAUUAUUUUAAACCACAAUUUAAACUUUAGCCUAAAAGUUGAUUAUCAACUCAUACAAAUUGAUAUUUAUAUUUUAUGUACCUUAUUUUGCUGAGAAAUCCCGCAAUAUGCUUCAAACCUCUUGCCUCCACUUAAAUAAAAUAAAUAAAAGCCGGCUUAUCCAAGAAUUUCUAACUCUCAACUUGGAAGGUUUUAGAAAAUUCUACCAGCUUUUUGGUGAAGUGGUGGCGGGAGAAAGGAAGGGGCGAGGAGUUUGCAGUGCUGUCCUAAGUAUCAAAGUUCUUUCGUCAAGACAAGCUAGAUAACUCGAAGAUUUGGGGUGAUGGAAGGAAGGAAAAUGGGUGCUAGAUGUUCCAGUCAAAUUUAAAUAGCGCCAAGAGCAACUACAGCUGCUUCCCCCUUUGCGCGCCUGUACCAAGAAUUCGAAUUUAAAAUCGCCGGGCCGGCUAACUGUCGGUUGCUUUUCCCGGGGCUGCAGUAGUAACCCGCGAGCGACCUCCCGGGAGCCCGCUGCGGACACCGCUCGGGUCAGUGGUGGCUGACAUCUUUCCUUUCUCUACAGCGAAACUGGUCACUACUGAAUCCGGCUUUUCUAACUGGCCAUCUUUAAGAGAAACAUUCUCUGUUCAGUUCUUCUCUGGAUAGAAGAAAGAAACAAAAUGCAACUUUGAUGGCCCGAACCUAAAAGCAAAAAUUUCCUUCCUCGACUCCCCACCCGAGGUUAUGCAGAGAAAAUGGGGAGAGAGAAUCUCUAAGAAAGAACCGAUCUUCUAGGGCAAGCUGCUUACUCCCACCCCUCAUCCCGGGCUCCAAUGAUCCUUAGCCCGCGCAUUUCGAAAGGAUUUAAAGCUCGCCCAGCUCGUAAGAGGACACGGGGAGAAGACGCCGCUCCCAGACUGGAAAAGAAACGAUUAUUUGGUACAGAGCCCCACGGAAAGAGAUCGGGGAGCGUGAAAAGUCAGAGUUGGAGUGGGUCUGGGGAAAAAAGUUGAGAGGAAACCAUGACUGGGGGUGGGGGUGGGGUAGGGUGGGGGGCACUAGGGAGGCGAAUGUCUUCCCUAAUCAGGAUGCACCCACAGUUUAACCCUCCCAGAAAUUAACAUUCAGGACAACCCAGGGAAGUCUUCUUUGCAUAGUUGUUCCUGCUUUUUAUUUGCAGCCUGUAUCUUAAAAGAUAAAAAAUAAAUUUUCAGGAUGAACAAUUAAGCUUUGAAAAGAAUGGAUUUAAACAAAAUUAAAGCAGCCGUAUGAUCCACCUGAGCCACGCCCUGUCUCAGGCCAACUGGCAACAAAAAGAAAACUAUCUCAGAGGAGUGGGGGAAACAAAGAACCCCUCUCCUCCGGGUCCCGAGGAUCCUAGGGGUCACUGUGGUGAUCGGGUAAGGCCCUUUUCACAGAUGCCACACAAGUGCCAGAGGGAAGACUAGUGGCCCUGGGAUCUCUGAGCAAACCCGCUAGUGAGAGGGGACGUUCAUAUAUGUGUACGUCAAUGUACAUGUCCCUAUACAUUAAUGUGUGUGUACACAAACGUGUACACGUAGCAAUUAAAAUGUGCAAAAAAAGUCGACGGAGGUUCGAAGUCUUCCCACGGGUCUCAAAAAGAAAUGCAAAUAAAAAAACAGAGGAAAAACAACUCCGAGCGAGCGCA